rnacentral:rRNA from 1 species
UACGUAGGGAGCAAGCGUUGUCCGGAAUCAUUGGGCGUAAAGGGCGCGCAGGCGGCUACGCACGUCCGUUGUGAAAUCGCUCGGCUCAACUGGGCGGGGUCAGCGGAUACGGCGUAGCUGGAGCAAGCUAGGGGGCAAUGGAAUUCCCGGUGUAGUGGUGGAAUGCGUAGAUAUCGGGAGGAACACCAGUGGCGAAGGCGGUUGCCUGGAGCUUUGCUGACGCUGAGGCGCGAAAGCGUGGGGAGCGAUCCGG